rnacentral:misc_RNA from 1 species
GAAAUGCGAUAAGUAAUGUGAAUUGCAGAAUUCAGUGAAUCAUCGAAUCUUUGAACGCACAUUGCGCCCGCCAGUAUUCUGGCGGGCAUGCCUGUUCGAGCGUCAUUACAACCCUCAGGCCCCCGGGCCUGGCGUUGGGGAUCGGCGGAAGCCCCCUGCGGGCACAACGCCGUCCCCCAAAUACAGUGGCGGUCCCGCCGCAGCUUCCAUUGCGUAGUAGCUAACACCUCGCAACUGGAGAGCGGCGCGGCCACGCCGUAAAACACCCAACUUCUGAAAGUUGACCUCGAAUCAGGUAGGAAUACCCGCUGAACUUAAGC